AUCACCCCAGCCGAUUUGCGCGGCUCCGUCCUCGCCUGCCAACAGAACCAGGCAUUGUCUGCCUCUCACGUCAACUAAAAACCAGGGACCGAACGAGGUAUUCAAUCUUCUUCUCCGGCUUCCAUUUCCAUUUCGUUGCUUCUCUCCGUCAAAUGGAUUAAGCGUAGGGUUAUGGACGGAUGGUUUGACUAAUUCUGCUACAUUUGCCACUUAAAUGGCAGGUGGGAAACCCUAGACUCUCGUGCUUGCUUGUGGUUUAUCUAGAACAGUAAGGAUGGGAAAUCUGAAAUACAGUUCACUCUCCGCAAGUUGUUCGGACUGACACUUGUUUGCGAUACCGUAGUAGAGCAGGUUAUCACAACAUGUACAAGGAGUCCCGUGAUACCAUAUGAUGGCUUUCAAUCAUAAGAUCUCUCAUCACUGUAUCCAAAUUAUCCAUCCCUGUUGAACAUCCCUUUCUUCGCCUCCCCUGCUCCUGCAAGCCCAACCAUCUCCGAUGCCUUGCCUCGCUCAGCAUUAUCUUCAGAUUCUUUCUUAUCCUUGCAUUAUGGAGAUGACUUCCAAUCAUAAGAUUGGUGCAGAGCAGAUGUACACUGAGAUGGCUUCCAAUCAUAAGAUUUGUCAUAGCUGUAUCUAAAUUAUCCGUCCCAUCAAGCAUCCCUUCCUUCGCCCUCUCUGCUCCUGCAAGCCCGACUGGGUGCACCACUUUACUCUGGUAAUUAGAUAAGGAUCGUUUGCCGCCGUAAUGUUCACGAGCGUAGACAGGGAGAUGCGAUGUGGUUGAGGAAUCGAAGGCGUCAAAGAGAGCGUGAUGCAAUAAUUAGGAUGGCUGGCGGAAUCUCAAACCAUCAUCGCCCUGCAACCAAUCCUAGGAGAAGACCAUAAUCACGCGCAAAACCUACUCUGGUCUUGAUUCUGAUGGUUCUUUGUGCGAUGUCUUGGAUCAAUGUCAUUGAGUGGCUACUCUGUGUUGGUGAUGAUUUAAUGCUAGGUUCUCGAUUAGGGUAAACUGAGUUUUCUCAAUCACAGUUGCAUGGGUCCCACCGGUGAACAAGUUGGUAUGUCCUACAAUACUAUCCGGGUUCCUAAUGGUUAUAGUGAGUGUAAGAAACGAGGAGCUUAGCCAAGUCAAUAACUUCAACGAUCUUCAUGUGGAAUAGUUUUGGAAGGAGGCAGUGACAUGCUUUCUGCUAUGCUAUGUAAGUAUUUGAUUUUGCAUUAUUCAUUUAUUUAUUUCUGUACACUCUUCAAAGGGUUGGUCAAUUUUUUUUAUAGUUGUUUAAUAAUCUGAUAGUGUGUUGCAUAAUAAGGAAGUUAUAUAGGCUUGGCCUGGAAAUCAGGAUUAGCCAUAUGUGUUAUUUUCAUGCAUAUGGUUUUUAUGUUCUCUUUGUGUUAGCAGUGCAGCGUAAAAUACUGCAUAAGUUUGAUAGGAUACAUAUUUACUGCUCUCUCCGGAGAGAGCCGCUGUAAUAUGUAUCCAAUCGAACAACUAUUCUAUUUUUGUCAUUCUCCAAAGGUGGUGCUGGCAAUCAAUCAAGCUAAAUGUUUUACUUGUUUAUUUUCAAAAGUAGACAAGCAAAUCUCAAUGUUUUGGAGUACUGGGGUGUUUGAUCUGUUUUUGGUUUAUUUUAUAUGGAGAUUGCUAGGAAGAUGCAUGUGUGUAUUAGAAAUGGAUGUACAACCUGUACCUGUGGUUGUGAUGUUAUGUGAUCAAUCUAUGUAUCACUUUAUUGUCCCAAAGUAUUGGAUUAUAUAAUUGAGAGGGGUUAGGAUAUAGUAGUUAGUUGUAUAUCAUGCUGGCAAUUAGUGUGUGCUUGCUUCAUAUUAUAUGUCAAUAUUAUGAUUA